rnacentral:rRNA from 1 species
CAGGAUGAACGCUAGCGACAGGCCUAACACAUGCAAGUCGAGGGGCGAGCACAAGGAGCAAUCUGAGGUGGCGACCGGCGCACGGGUGAGUAACACGUAUGCAACCUGCCUGUAAGCGGGGAAUAACCCGUUGAAAGACGGACUAAUACCGCAUAAUACUAAAUUACUGCAUGGUAAUUUAUUUAAACAUUUAUGGCUUACAGAUGGGCAUGCGCAUGAUUAGCUAGUUGGAGAGGUAACGGCUCCCCAAGGCAACGAUCAUUAGGGGUUCUGAGAGGAAGGUCCCCCACACUGGUACUGAGACACGGACCAGACUCCUACGGGAGGCAGCAGUGAGGAAUAUUGGUCAAUGGACGAGAGUCUGAACCAGCCAAGUCGCGUGCAGGAAGAAUGUCCUAUGGAUUGUAAACUGCUUUUGCAGGGGAAUAAAGUGCAUCACGUGUGAUGUUUUGUAUGUACUCUGCGAAUAAGGAUCGGCUAACUCCGUGCCAGCCGCCGC